AAGUCCUAAAGUUUGGUCCCAUGG
rnacentral:siRNA from 1 species